rnacentral:rRNA from 1 species
ACGAACGCUGGCGGCAGGCUUAACACAUGCAAGUCGAACGCUCCGCAAGGAGAGUGGCAGACGGGUGAGUAACGCGUGGGAAUCUACCCAUCUCUACGGAAUAACUCAGGGAAACUUGUGCUAAUACCGUAUACGCCCUUCGGGGGAAAGAUUUAUCGGAGAUGGAUGAGCCCGCGUUGGAUUAGCUAGUUGGUGGGGUAAAGGCCUACCAAGGCGACGAUCCAUAGCUGGUCUGAGAGGAUGAUCAGCCACAUUGGGACUGAGACACGGCCCAAACUCCUACGGGAGGCAGCAGUGGGGAAUAUUGGACAAUGGGCGCAAGCCUGAUCCAGCCAUGCCGCGUGAGUGAUGAAGGCCCUAGGGUUGUAAAGCUCUUUCACCGGUGAAGAUAAUGACGGUAACCGGAGAAGAAGCCCCGGCUAACUUCGU